rnacentral:rRNA from 1 species
UGGGGAAUAUUGGACAAUGGGCGAAAGCCUGAUCCAGCCAUGCCGCGUGUGUGAAGAAGGUCUUCGGAUUGUAAAGCACUUUAAGUUGGGAGGAAGGGCAGUAAGCGAAUACCUUGCUGUUUUGACGUUACCGACAGAAUAAGCAACGGCUAACUCUGUGCCAGCAGCCGCGGUAAUACAGAGGGUGCAAGCGUUAAUCGGAAUUACUGGGCGUAAAGCGCGCGUAGGUGGUUCGUUAAGUUGAAUGUGAAAGCCCCGGGCUCAACCUGGGAACUGCAUCCAAAACUGGCGAGCUAGAGUACGGCAGAGGGUGGUGGAAUUUCCUGUGUAGCGGUGAAAUGCGUAGAUAUAGGAAGGAACACCAGUGGCGAAGGCGACCACCUGGGCUCAUACUGACACUGAGGUGCGAAAGCGUGGGGAGCAAACAGG